rnacentral:rRNA from 1 species
GACGAACGCUGGCGGCGUGCUUAACACAUGCAAGUCGAACGGAAAGGCCCUGCUUUUGUGGGGUGCUCGAGUGGCGAACGGGUGAGUAACACGUGAGUAACCUGCCCUUGACUUUGGGAUAACUUCAGGAAACUGGGGCUAAUACCGGAUAGGAGCUCCUGCUGCAUGGUGGGGGUUGGAAAGUUUCGGCGGUUGGGGAUGGACUCGCGGCUUAUCAGCUUGUUGGUGGGGUAGUGGCUUACCAAGGCGUUGACGGGUAGCCGGCCUGAGAGGGUGACCGGCCACACUGGGACUGAGAUACGGCCCAGACUCCUACGGGAGGCAGCAGUGGGGAAUAUUGCACAAUGGGCGGAAGCCUGAUGCAGCAACGCCGCGUGCGGGAUGACGGCCUUCGGGUUGUAAACCGCUUUCGCCUGUGACGAAGCGUGAGUGACGGUAAUGGGUAAAGAAGCACCGGCUAACUACGUG